rnacentral:tRNA from 1 species
GGCCCCAUCGUCUAGCGGUUAGGACGCUGCCUUCUCAAGGCAGAGAUCGCGGGUUCGAACCCCGCUGGGGUCA